GCCAGCAGUGACCGCACGUUAAAUGCACCUGUUUCCUAUUUGAUCACUGAAGUCAAGCAACAUUGCGCGUGGUUUGUAUGUGGAUGGACGACCAUCUGGGCAAUCCCCUUUUGCUGACU
rfam:Asian citrus Psyllid, Diaphorina citri - Florida Strain, whole genome shotgun sequence.